GAAUAUUAGUCAAUGAUCGAAAGAUUGAUCUAGUUACUUAGAAAGAUGAAGAUUAUAAUAUAAAAUGUUUUGUAAAAAAUAUAAGAAAAUAAUAAUGAAGAAUAUAAAAUCAAUAUAUAUAUAUAAAGAAUAAUGAUGGAUAUAUAUAUAGAAGUCUUAACCAAAAUUAGUGCCAGCAGUUGCGGCUAAACUAAGGAGGCAAACGUUAAUCAUUAAUGGCUUAAAGGAUCCGUAGAAUGAUAUAUAUCAUAUAAAAUGAUACUUUUUUAAUAAUAUAAAAAAGGUAUAUAUACAUAAUAGAGUUAAAUUGAAUAAUAAUGAAAAAUUAUAUUGAGAGAUGAAAUGUGUGGAAAAUAAUUAGACAAAUAAACGUGAAGAUAAAAUUAAAAAUUUAACUGACAUUGAGGGAUGAAGGCAUGAGUAGCAAAACGGAUUAGAUACCCGAGUAGUUCAUGCAGUAAACGAUGAAUACUAAAUAUAAAUAUAAGCGAAAGCUUAAGUAUUCCGCCAGGAGAGUAUAGCUUCAAAGUUGAAAUCCAAGACAAUAGACGGUUACAGCUGUAGGCAGUGGAUUGUGUUAUUUAAU
rnacentral:rRNA from 1 species